GUUUUCCAAGCGAAGUGACCUUCAUUUACCAAAAGACAAAGAGGCUUACAAAAGCAUGCUAUGUUCUGGGAAUGCUCAGAAAUUUGGUAUGGUUGUUUUGGUAGAAAGUAGGCAGUGGUGGGGCGCAUGGGUGGCUCAGUCGUUAAGCGUCUGCCUUCAGCUCAGGCGCCCCUCUCUGGCAGUCUUAGGCUAUGAUUGCUGGGGUUUUUUGCUUGAUGUAUGGGAUAACCUCUCAAAUAUCUCCUACUUACACAAAUUUGUAUUCCUUUCAAGUUCUUCUCUGCUCCCAGCGUCACUUCUGCUUCCUCUGGUCGUUUGUUCUUCUUGCUCCUUCUUAGUUUUAAUGUCCGGUGAUCCCCAGAUGCUUGGGAAUCCCUAGUUGUCUGAUCAUAUUUUUUAUGAUUUGGGGUACUGGCAUGGGCUCCCUCUGAAGCUGCUGGGGCUCGUCCUCCCAUAGGCUCUCCCCUAAAAGGCAGGGUGGCUGUGAUCUUCGUUUGAGUGGGUCGGGCCAUGACCGAGAGACUCCACUCCAGGGACUUGGACAUGGGGAAGUCAGGCAGGCUGAAGACGUCUUACCCUCUCUGAGGCUCUCACCUCCUGCUCUCGUUGCCAGGCACUGUUGGACUUCAAUGAAUAUUUCACCUCAGCAAAAAUGACUCAGAUAUUUUAUUCCUUCUGAGUCCACUUUGGAAUUUUUGAUUUAUCUCUCUUAGACCUCUAUCCCCUCCCCCCCCACAUCACUAUCCCUCUCCAGGUAGGAAGUUCACAUUCUUUGGAGGGGUAUUCUUUUAGGGGUUUUAUCGCAGGGUCUAAGGCUGCUGCUGCUACUGGCAGUGGUAGUGCUGAUGGUGAGGUCAGAGACACGACUGGCUUUGCUACUCUGAAUGCUGGUCUGUAAUUAAUUAUAUUGUCAUUAAUGAUCUCAAUAAUUAAGUAUCUUAGGGCCCCCUACUGCUCUUGACUUGUAGUCACCCUGACUCUGAGAUGGAAGUUUCUUUUAAUCUUUUAUAUUUCUUUCUGAUCCGAUCUAUUUUUUAUAGAUUUCUCUAGAAUUGCAGUUCUCCAGUUACAGUGCCUGAGCCGGCAGGAUCAGCAAAACCCAGGAACUUUUUAGAAAUGCAUAUUGUUUACCCGUAAGAUGGCUAUGAGCAUUUGGUUGUUUCUAGAUUUCUGACUAUUACAAAUAAAGCUGCUGUGAAUAUUGUUGUACAGAUGUUUCUGUGGACAUAUUUUUUCAUUUUUAUUGGGAAAUACCUAGAAGUAGAAUUGUAGGACAAAUCCAAUCUGACACAAUCCAAAAAUUCUUCAUAGCUAUGAUCCACUAAUGGUACAGUGUUAUGGAUUUAUUCCUUUUAUGGUUGCCAAUAAAAUGCAGUAAGUCCAACAUAUUUCAUUUAGGGCAUAGUUUUACUAAAAAAUUAUUCUUUGUUUACCUGAAAUUCGUAUUUAAGUGGGUUCCUGUAUUUUUCAAUGUUUUUUUUUGUUUUCUUUGCUAACUAUGCCCACCCUAAUAAAAAGGAUUUUUAUUAUCAUAUAUGUUAUUUUAAGAGCUUUGGAAGGUAGAAGAAGCAAGAUUUACUUGUAUGAUCAUUCCACCAUCUUAAUCCAAGAUAGAAACUUGGCAGAAAACUGAUAGCCUCAUAAUCCAUUUACUAGUCUGUUCAUUCCAGUGCAAAAUAUGCUGCCCAAACCAUUGAAAACUUACCAUCAGAAAGUCCUCCUUCCUAACACGAAAUCAUUAUCUUAUGUCUGCAAAAUGUCAUUUCAAGUAGGCUAGGAGCAGACUUUGAGGUAAAAAAUUACAUUAGAUAAGAAAUUCUAUUGCCUGUAUUUAAUGUUAAAUUUGUGUUUUGAAAAUUUUUAAUAAUCACAUAAUUGUAUUAAUAUUCAGGUUUCUAUUUUCAAUCCAAGAUUAAAACAUUUAUAACAUCUACUCGGGACUUUAUCUUUUUUUUUUUUUAGCUCUUGAGGAUAGAAUUCCCCACAUAACACAUAAGGCUACUGCUUGAUUUAGAUAUAUUAACUUUUCAUGUACAUUUUCAGAAACUCAUUAAACACAAAAAUAGACCUGUUUCCAAAAAAAUGUAAUGGGCAGAAAAAAAACUUAGAUGUAACCAUUAGACCCUUGGGCUAAAGAAAGAAAUAUCUAGGUGUUUUAUGAGCUUUCUAGCAAGCUUAACCAAUUGUGUUUCCCUACCAUUUUCUUUUUGUUUUACCAGAUGAAGCGUGCUGGUGUUGUUAGUUCUCCCUUAGCAGUUAUGGAUAUUAUGAGAUUAUUAUACAUCCUGCCUAUGAAUAUUUUGGUCUUGAAUUUCUUUGUCCUGUAAUUUUUAAAACAUGGCCUCCUUCUACCCCACUGCUUUGGUACAAUCUCUUGUGGUGAGUUGGAGGAAGGACACCACCCUGGCUUUGAGGCUUCUGGCAGAACAUUAGUCUUGUGUGGCUGUGGUUACCACUAGGUUAUUGCUGAGAAAUCAUGUUCAAGGCCUAUCCCCAGCUUGAGUUUUUCCCGUGCAUUAAAUACUGUUAGUGGUUUUAGUCCAUUCAUUGUUCCCAUUUGAAUAAAAUGAAAACUCUUGUGCAACAGGAUUUCUGAGGUGGUGGGAAAAGCUUUAAGUCCAAUAGAGGCCAGGUUGCUCUGUGUAGACUGGAUUUACUUCUGUUUUACUCAGCCAUUCUCUAGAGAGGCAAGAGAGAUUCUGUCUCUAAAUGUUCUACAUGAUUUUCAUAUCUGGCAGAAACAUUAAGGAUAAUGAUAAUAAUAAUCAGAAUUUACCAUAUACCAGGCUAAGUACUAGUGUAAAAACUUAGCAUGUGUAUCUUGGUUGAUAACAGUCAUAAUCACAACCAGUAUCAUUUAUUAAGUCCCAUCUAUAAGCCAGGUGCUUCACCUACCUUAUUCUAUCUCCACAACAAUUUUCUGAGAGAGAUGCUUAGAGAACAGGGAAUCAAGGCACUGACAGUUAAGAAGUAUGUCCAAGAUUAUACAGGUGGCAAAUCACAGACCUAGGAUUUAAGCACAAACUCUUGGGCCUUUUUCAUAUAAUGCAGUUGAAUCGAUUUUUAUACUUAAAAAAGCACUUGCUCACUUAUUACUUUAUUUCACUUUGACAAGACCUUCCCAUGGGAAAAAAAGAAGAUAGGACUAUCUCCACAUUAAAGUAAGGAAAAUGAGACAGGAGAGGGUAAAUGGCUU
ensembl:lncRNA